UACGUAGGUGACCAGCGUUGUCCGGAUUUACUGGGCGUAAAGAGCGCGCAGGCGGUCGUUCAAGUCGAGUGUGAAAGCCCCCGGCUCAACUGGGGAGGGUCACUCGAUACUGAUCGACUGGAAGGCAGGAGAGGGAAGCGGAAUUCCCGGUGUAGUGGUGAAAUGCGUAGAUAUCAGGAGGAACACCGGCGGCGAAGGCGGCCCUCUGGAUCGUUGCUGACGCUGAGACGCGAAAGCGUGGGGAGCAAACAGG
rnacentral:rRNA from 1 species